ACUUCAUGAUUCGCGCGACGAACUUUUGUCAAUUAAUGCCAAAAUUGGCCGGCAUGGGUACGAUGUUUUUGACCGGAAUCAAAAAGUUCAAAAAGCACCAAAACAUGAUUUUUGGACAUAUUUGACUUUAUUGGGUGCGUUCGUGACAAAAACUCACUUCCUGAUUCGCGCGGCGAACUUUUGUCAAUUAAUGCCAAUAUUGGCUGACAUGGGUGCGAUGUUUUUGACCGGAAUGAAAAAGUUCAAAAAGCGCCAAAACAUGAUUUUUAGACAUAUUGGAGUGUAUUGGUUGCGUUCGUGGCAAAAACUUACUUCGUGAUUCGCACGAUGAACUUUUGUCAACUAAUGCCAAUAUUGGCAAAUUUUGGCCCACACGGAUGCGAUGUUUUUGACCGGAAUGAAAAAGUUCAAAAAGCACCGAAACAUGAUUUUUGCACAUAUUAGACUUUAUUGGGUGCGUUCGUGGCAAAAACUCACUUCGUGAUUCGCGCGGCAAAUUUUUGUCAAUUAAUGCCAAUAUUGGCCGACAUGGGUGCGACGUUUUUGACCGGAAUCAAAAAGUUCAAAAAGCACCAAAACAUGACUUUUGGACAUGUUGGAGUGUAUUGGGUGCGUUCGUAGCAAAAACUCACUUCGUGAUUCGCGUGGCGAACUUUUGUCAAUUAACGACAAUAUUGGAAAAUUUUAGCCCACACGGAUGCGAUGUUUUUGACCGGAAUCAAAAAGUUGAAAAAACACCAAAACAUGAUUUUUGGACAUUUUGGAGUGUAUUGGGUGCGUUCGUGGCAAAAACUCACUUCGUGAUUCGCGCGGCGAACUUUUGUCAAUUAAUGCCAAUAUUGGCCGACAUGGGUGCGAUGUAUUUGACCGGAAUGAAAUAUUUCAAAAAAGCACCAAAACAUGAUUUUAGGACAUAUUGGAGUGUAUUGGGUGCGUUCGUGGCAAAAACUCACUUCGUGAUACACGCGGCGAACUUUUGUCAAUUAAUGCCAAUAUUAGCCCACACAGGUGCGAUGUUUUUGACCGGAAUGAAAUAGUUCAAAAAGCACCAAAACAUGAGUUUAGGACAUAUUGGAGUGUAUUGGGUGCGUUCGUGGCAAAAACUCACUUCGUGAUUCGCGCGACGAACUUUUGUCAAUUAAUGCCAAUAUUGGCCCACACAGGAGAGAUGUUUUUGACCGGAAUGAAAUACUUCAAAAACUCACCAAAACAUGAUUUUAGGACAUAUUAGAGUGUAUUGGGUGCGUUCGUGGCAAAAACUCACUUCGUGAUUCACGCGGCGAACUUUUGUCAAUUAAUGCCAAUAUUGGCCGACUUGGGUACGACGUUUAUGACCGGAAUCAAAAAGUUCAAAAAGCACCAAAACAUGAUUUUUGGACAUAUUGGAGCGUAUUGGGUGCGUUCCUGGCAAAAACUCACUUCGUGAUUCGCGCGGCGAACUUUUGUCAAUUAUUGACAAUAUAGGCCGACAUGGGUACGAUGUUUUUGACCAGAAUCAAAAAGUCCAAAAAGCACCAAAACAUGAUUUUUGGACAUAUUAGACUUUAUUGGGUGCGUUCGUGGUAAAAACUCACUUCGUGAAUCGCGCGGCGAACUAUUGUCAACUAACGCCAAUAUUGGCAAUUUUGGACCACACGGAUACGAUGUUUUUGACCGGAAUGAAAAAGUUGAAAAAGCACCAAAACAUGAUUUUUGGACAUAUUGGACUUUAUUGGGUGCGUUCGUGGUAAAAACUCACUUCGUGAUUCGCGCGACGAACUUUUGUGAAUUAAUGCCAAUAUUGGCCGACAUGGGUGCAAUGUUUUUGACCGGAAUGAAAAUUUUCAAAAAGCAGCAAA
rnacentral:lncRNA from 1 species